AGGUUGUGAUGAAACUUUACAAGAGAGAAUGAGUAAAAGUAUAUUUUAAUUUUCAUUCUUAUUACGCAGUAUUGGAGAUUGAACGUAUGCAUGCUAGAUGAAAUUCUGUCUACUUGAAGUGACAAGUGCCCCUUUAAACCAUCUGUGGUUGUCUAAAUCCAUUCAUCUCCAGUGGGGAGCCUGUGGAUCUUCUGUGACUUUCUGUUGCUAUCUAAAUUAGUCUUUUGAGAGACCGAUGGAGAACAGCGUCUGCCAUGCUCCAAGAAGGCCAGAGGCAUCUACUACAGUAUCUCGUCACUGCUCCUGCCAUGGAUGUUCAUUUUCCUGAAAUUCAUUAAGUAACCCAGUCAUGAUGGAACUGCUUUGUGACACUUGCCCGAGUCAGUCUGAAGAUCUCAUCCCCCUCCAGAAGCAACUGCUGACUACUGCCUAAUGUUAGAAUUGAGAGUAAUGAAUGAAAGAGGUCAACAGAAGCGCAUGAGAGUUAUUGACGCCUGAGAGUUUUUCAAGGACAAAGGUAAAUCAAAAUCCUCACCUGAACAAGACUCCCACCCCUACCAUUUCUUAAAGAGCAUAAAAUAAUACUAACAGUAAUAACAGCUCCCAUUUAAUGACAUCAUCUACUAUUUGUGAAGCUAGCUAAGUAUGGUAAACACACCUAGUUACAAGUGAAGGAACUUGCUCAAGAAAACAGUGUUCUGGACCACCCUAAAGUCUUUCCAAUAUAGUAUAGGGGGACUUGAAGGAGAAAGGAUAGAGGGGAUGUGUAAAGCUUAGAGAUGAAGCUGCUUUAAAGCUCCAGAUUAUGAAUGCAUCCCUGUUACAUUCUUUAUAUUUUAUUGGGACUAAGGCUGUAUCCAAAGGUGGGAGAUAUGGCUCAGUUGUCAAGAAUACUUAUUGCUUUCCAGAGGACCCAAGUUCAAGUUCCAGCACCUAUGCCAGGCAGCUAAGCACCAUCUAUAACGCAUGUUCCAAAGGGAAUCUGAUGCCUCUGCCCUUUGAGAGCAUCUAUGCUUAUGUGCACAUACCCCCACCCCACCCCCACACACAGACACUCAUACUCAAAAUGAUAAAAAAAAUCCUAUAAACUGUGUCUGAAUCAUUUGCUCUUAUGUUCUCCAUAACUUAAAUAUAGUGCAAGCUUAAUGUUUAAGUUGAAUGGAUAAAGAAUUAUUACACAAACAAUUCAAGCUCUGUCUUGUACAAAGACUAUUGAUAUGUGGAAUAAAAAGAAAUGACUUUUAUCCAAGUAUAGCAUACUAUUCAUCUUUCAUAUAAUCUGAUCCAUUCAUAUUUUAAAUAUCAAAAUGCCUCUCUUAUGCACAAAGGCAUAUUAGAAUCCAGAGGAUCAUUUGGAGCUAGGGGACAGA